AGAAUCAACGCUGGCGGCGUGCCUAACACAUGCAAGUCGAACGAGAAAGUGGGAGCAAUCCCAUUAGUAAAGUGGCGCACGGGUGAGUAACACGUGACUAACCUACCCUUGAGUGGGGGAUAACCUAGGGAAACCUGGGCUAAUACCGCAUAAUACCUACGGGUCAAAGGAGCAAUUCGCUUUAGGAGGGGGUCGCGGCAGAUUAGUUAGUUGGCGGGGUAAUGGCCCACCAAGACAGUGAUCUGUAUCCGGCCUGAGAGGGCGCACGGACACACUGGAACUGAAACACGGUCCAGACUCCUACGGGAGGCAGCAGUGGGGAAUAUUGGACAAUGGGCGCAAGCCUGAUCCAGCCACGCCGCGUGAGUGAUGAAGGCCUUCGGGUCGUAAAGCUCUGUGGGGAGGGACGAACCGCUGGGUAUUAAUACCAUCCAGCAUGACGGUACCUCCUUAGCAAGCACCGGCUAACUUCGUGCCAGCAGCCGCGGU
rnacentral:rRNA from 1 species